UCUUCAGAGACAAGGGGCUUGUGUAUGGAGACAUUAGGCCUUCACAUUGUCACUUGUUUCCCCCAACGUCUUGCCUCCAAUGAGAUCCCUUCAUCUGCAUCUGUCUCUAGAACAGCAGAAAGGAGAUGCCUAAUACUUCUCUAAUGACAGAACUUCUGACUGCCUUCCAGCUGCCAAUCCCUGCAGACCCAUCGCCUGGCAACUGCAACAGCAUAAGUGUUACUUCUUCACCACUGAAAUGUAAUCACCAAUGAGGGAAAUGCAGCCGUUAUUUAAUAGGGCACAGAAGCAGCAACAGGGCUUGAAAACUCACUUGCCAGCAGAAAUGGGAAUUUUCCAUUGUAUUUAGGAGAUCAAUGCCAGGAGAAGGGUUCAGAAAACAAAUUCCAUUCCAUCCAAGACAAUGCAGUUGGAGGCUUCCAACAAACCCAAGCUUUGUGUCUUUCAGCCAAUGAGAAAAUGCAAAUUACUGGCAAACAUAAUGCAAUACUCACGGAUGGACCAACACGGCCUACUUCACCAGGAAGUCCUGCUACACCAGGGGGCCCCUACAAUAACCACGUAAAAGAAAGAAAUAUGUAUACAUUAUUUACAAUCAUCUGUAUGAUAGAGAUGUAAGUACACAGGGAAAAAUCUUCCCAAAGCAACAGGAGAUAAAUUGUGCCCUCAGAAACACAUCUGUACACCCAAAGGAUUACAAUGGUCUAAAAUGUUAGUUGUAAAAAUAUGUAUGAAUAGAUACAGAACAUGAGGGCCAAAAUUAUUAUUCUGUCUUUUCAUUUUAUUACUUUGAUUUGUUAUGCAAUCACAGACUGUAGAUUGUAUAAAAUGAUACUUACUGCUGGUCCAAGA